rnacentral:rRNA from 1 species
UAAACAUUGCAAGUCGAACGGGAUUGAGAGCUUGCUCUCAUGAGAGUGGCGCACGGGUGAGUAACGCGUAUGCAACCUACCUUUAACUGAGGGAUAGCCCAUAGAAAUGUGGAUUAAUACCUCAUAGAUCUUUUGUUCCGCAUGGGAUGGAAGAUAAAGCUCCGGCGGUUAAAGAUGGGCAUGCGUGACAUUAGCUAGUUGGUAAGGUAACGGCUUACCAAGGCUACGAUGUCUAGGGGUUCUGAGAGGAUGAUCCCCCACACUGGUACUGAGACACGGACCAGACUCCUACGGGAGGCAGCAGUGAGGAAUAUUGGUCAAUGGGCGCAAGCCUGAACCAGCCAUCCCGCGUGCAGGAUGACGGCCCUAUGGGUUGUAAACUGCUUUUAUACACCAAGAAAAAUCCCGAUGUAUCGGGACCCGACGGUAGUGUAUGAAUAAGCAUCGGCUAACUCCGUGCCAGCAGCCGCGGUAAUACGGAGGAUGCAAGCGUUAUCCGGAUUUAUUGGGUUUAAAGGGUGCGUAGGCGGCUUUUUAAGUCAGUGGUGAAAUCCUGUCGCUUAACGAUAGAAUUGCCAUUGAUACUGAAGAGCUUGAGUUUAGUUGAGGUAAGCGGAAUGUGUAGUGUAGCGGUGAAAUGCUUAGAUAUUACACAGAACACCGAUUGCGAAGGCAGCUUACUAAACUAACACUGACGCUGAUGCACGAAAGCGUGUGGGAGCGAACAGGAUUAGAUACCCUGGUAGU